AGAUGGCUGAGAGAAUUCUUGAGAGGGAAGUGUGGAGGACUGCAGGUACAGCCUGUGGUGGAGGUAUUCACACUGCUGGCUGGGCUCUGGGGUCUCAACCCAACUAUCUAAAAAAUGAGGCCCAGGCACACCACGCUGAUCCUUAAACACAUUCAGGUGGAGGUGAUUUGUUCUGCUGGGUCUGUUAAAACUGGGCCAAGAGACUAGUUGCACCACAUUGUAGUAAAAGCAACCAAAAGGUUAAGUCCAAUGUAAGGAGGAGAUCGUGAAAAGCAACUGUUCAGUCCAUUCCCAGUUUUGGGUUGGUUUUGGUUGUUUGUCUUAAAUUAAGGGGGAUGCAGCCUGCCUGUGACACCCCAGGCAGCUCAGAGACCUUGGGGAACCUACCCACCCAUUUGUCCUUAAGCAGAAAGAGAAUGUUUGAUUGAAUGCCUGAUCUGUGCCAGGCCCUCUUUUGAUGCUGGGGAUACAGCAGUAAACAAGACAACUAAGGCCUCUUGCUCUAUAAAGCAGAUUUUUGGUGGAGAAGACAAGUACUUGCAAGUUAAAGUAAAUGCUGGAACAAAAACAAGGGACUGGAAUAGAGAACAAGAGUUACUUUAGGUGACGACAGCAGGGAGAAUGUCUUUUGAGGAGGUGAUGUUGAAAAUGAAGUCAAAAGAAUGAGGAGAUAUCCUUGGGAAGAGCCAGGCAGAGACAUUCCAAGUCAAGAACAGUUUGUGCCUAGGCCUUGAGAAAGAGUUAGAGGGUGAACAGUGCCUCGUAUAUUGGAUGGAGUAGCCUGGAGGAGAGAGACUACAGCCCCAGGAAGCACAUCAAGAAUUCUGUUUUAGUCAUGUUGUGUUUGAGAUGCCCAUAAGAAAUCCAACUUGAUUGUCCAGUCACAAGAAGCUCACCCAGGCUGAAGAAUUUCCAGGUCUAGCUGGCCACAUGGCUUCCCUGAAUAAAAGCAAGUUUCUAGGACUCCCUCUUUGCUCAACAUGGUCACAUGACUCAGUUCCAGCCAGCAGGAGUAAUCUGAAAUCAAACCUGCAGUAUUUCUGAGAUGUGCCUCUGCAGUCCUAAGUCCUGGCCAAUGGGAGGUGAGCAGAAGUGACAUGUUCUUCUUCCACAUCAUACCUUAAGGAAAUGAAGUAUGUUUAGCAUUUGACAAAAUUCAACAUUCUUUCAUGAUAAAAACUCUCAACAAAUUAAGUAUAGGAGGACUCAACGUAAUAAAGACCAUAUAUGACAAGCUCGCAGCUAACAUCAUACUCAGUUGUGUAAAGUUAAAAGUCCUGGUCAUAGCAAUUAGGCAAGAUAAAGAAGUAAAAGUCAGAAAGGAAGAAAUAAAAUUAUCUCUGUUUGCAGAUGACAUGAUAUAGAGAAACCCUGAAAACCACCAAAAAGCUACUAGAACUAAUAAACGGAUUCAGUAAAGUUGCAGAUUAUAAAAUCAACAUAUAGAAAGCAAUUGCAUUUUUAUACACUAACAACAAACUAUCUGAAAGAGAAAUAAAGUAAUUCAAGCUUUCUAACUUAAUAUACAUCUAAAUUAAUAGACAUCUAUAGAACUCUCCAUCCAACAACUGCAGAAUGUAUUCUUCUCAAGUGCCUAUGAAACACUCUUCAUCUUACCUUGGUCAGAAUGGCCAUCAUCAAGAAGUCUACAAACAAUAAGUGCUGGAGAGGAUGUGGAGAAAAAGGAACCCUAGUACAC